rnacentral:tRNA from 1 species
CUAGGUUUAGAAUAUUUAAUAGUUCAUAUUUUUGUCAAAAAUAUAGUAUAAUAAUUUUUAUAACCUAUG